GGGCCAUACCUGCAGCAUGUGGAGGUUCCCAGGUUAGGGGUCUAAUCGGAGCUGUAGCCGCUGGCCUACGGCAAUGCCAGAUCCUUGACCCAAUGAGCGAGGCCAGGGAUCGAACCCACCACCUCACGGUUCCUAGUCAGAUUCAUUAACCACUGCACCACGAUGGGAACUCCGACUCUAUUUUAUUUGUUUUUGCAAUUCUAACACGGUGCUAGCACUAUACCUUUUUUUUCUUUUUUAUUGAAUGAUUUAGGCUUGCCCUUCCAUUUUGGAUUGCUGAUAUAUUCUUUAGCAUCUUGGAAAAAGAAUGCACUGUAAAAAAUUGAUCUCUUCGCUGAUAGGAACAUGAGCUCGUUAUAUUCCCGUCCCCCCAGUAUAGAUGGUUAUAUAGAAGAUAUACCUUAAUAUUACCUCAAAAUUGGCCUUUUGAGGUACUAAGGGUGGAGGGAAGGAAUAAUGAGAAUAUUAUGUGGUACAUCAAACCUAUGCAUGCCCCCCCACACCAAAACGUAUGGCCUGCUGAUAAGCUGCACAAUGAUGGCCACAGCUUCUCUUCAGGGAAGCAUGGGGACAAAAGUGUAUGGCUUAAAGAUAGCUAAAGAUAUAGACUGAAGUGGACAUUUGGAUGGCUAAAGAUACAGACUCAAGUGGACAUUUAUAAUUUCUUUAGCCAUUGAGCAUCCAAACUCCCAUUUGAGGGAAAUUUCCCAUUAAGUGAGUCUUAAUGAACACUAUGGCUCUAACUCCCUUUCCCACAGCCCAGUUAGCCAGACACCUCCUCUUCCCAACCACAGCAGUGAGGGCAGGAGCAUAAAACCUAGGUUUGGCAGAUCAGACUUGGGAAUUUGAAUCUAAAGUGAAUCAUUUGAAGGGUAAGGAAGGUUAAAAUACAUUCCCAGGAGCCAGUGGUUACAGGAUGGCUUCUAGCAGUAUUUUCACCCUUGGCGGGGUCACCAGAAGUAUCCUAACCAAACUUGCAUGUAACCUUGUUAUGAUUCCUACAGUCUGUUAGCCUUUGGUUCCUGCCUGUUUUUUCAGCCUGGUUCUUCAGUCUUCCUGUUGAUUCUAUGAGCUAUUUGAUAUUCUGCCAAUAAAUUCCUUUCCUGCUAAAAUUAGUCAGUUUCUAUUGCUUGUGACCAAGAACUUCAUCUUAAUACUGCUUUCCUUAAAGUGUUUUGUGUUUACUCAAUAAGUAGUUGUUGAAUGAUCAAGUGGCUAUCAUUUUUUACUCCUUGACCAAGUACGUUUUCUGUGGGAACAUAUCUCUAUUUAACAUAAGACAGAAGAACAUUCAUUUUAUUGAAUAUUAAUAAACAUUUCCUGGAAAAUGUAAGUUUUAGAAGACAAAUGAUACCAAUCAAAAAUGUGCAGGGCAGCAGUAAGUUUGGGGGGCCUCUGGCACAAUCCCAUGGAGGUUGGGGAGGAAAACACAGGAUUGACAUCCCUAAACCUAUCCUAAGCCAAAUCCUUCCUCCUAAGGGAAGGUUGGCUUAUAUUUCAGUCUGGUAUUUGUUCACUGAGCCUUAUCCACAAUGAAACCCAAGGUGGCAAGCCUCUCACGGGCUUUACUCAGCCCUAAAAGCUUAUGCUCAAGUCUCAGGUUGUGAGGAUGUUCGGAGAAGGCUAAAGCGAAAUGUUGGCUUCAGCAUUUGAGGCUGGAACAGUCUGGUACUCUAGGAAUUUGGGUGUACUGUGAAAGUUUUGCUGCUUAUUGUUCUUUCUUCUUCCCUUUUAUUUUCUCCCCUUUUCCACAGCACAAGUUAUAAUUGAUUUUUAAUGGUUUUGAUGAUUUUUUUUGCUUCCAAUUUUGUAUCUUAUUUCAUUACAUUUAUUUAUGGGAGGUUUUAUCUCAUAACUUGACAUUGUUUACAUUUUAUCUUCCCAAUGCUAUUUUUAUAAAAAGUACUAAUAUAUUGAUUGAAUCUGUAGAUUUGGUGAUGUAAGAAAACUUUUUCAAAAUGGAUCUACAAAGGUUAAUGCUAAAAAAAAUGGUUAAAUGUUUAUCUCUGAAAUUUACUGAUUGUAACUGAAAAAAAAAACUAUUAUUGUGUAAAUAAAGCUUGCCAAAUGUCAAAGGAAUAAUGAUCUUACAUGUAACUUACAUAUGUCACAUAUUAUCUACCUAUAAUUCAUUUGUAGUUUUUUUACCGCUCUGAAUAGCAAUUCCUAGUAAGGUUUCUGAAAACAUCUAGGAAAUCUUCCAUCUUGCAUGCAUAUAACAUUGAAAUUUAACUUUCAUGUGAUUCAUAGGUAUUAUGUUUUAGAAUAACAUUAUACAGCUCCGCAGUUGUUUUGCUAUUAAAGCAUUCUUAACUGAUUUCCAUAUCAAUUGAUUCUACACCUUGUUGUAAUGUAAAUAAUCCCUAAACAUCUAGUAAACUAGUAUUUGUUCUUUAGUAAACAGCUCUAUCAGUGACUUUCUCAAAGACACAGGAAGGCUUAUUUACAUUAUCAAUACCAAUGUCUGUCUGACUGACUGUUUACAUAUCUUUUUUACGGGAAAGCUUUGGUUGAUGUAGCCUUUAAAACAACACAGCCUCAUAACAUGCUCAGGCUAAAAAGUUUUUUCUGCUUAUUUGUCUGGGCUCUUGCUGACUAAAGACUCAAGUCUAUUAAGGAAGACUUCAUUAUAUUUCCUACAUCUAGCACAGUGCCUGGCACAUACUAGAUUCUUGAUAAAUUUGUGAAAGGAAUGGACAAAUGUUAAAAGGCUUAAGAGUUUCCAUUUUCCACAGAGGGAGCCAGUAGGAUGUAAACCUACUGUGAUGGUUAAUUUUAUGUGUCAACUUGAUAGGACUAAGAGAUACCUAGAUAGCUGAUAAAGCAUUGUUUCUGGGUGUGUCUCUGAGGGUGUUUCUGGAAGAGAUUAGCAUUUUAAUCUAUAGACUGUGUAAAGAUCACCCUCACCUGAAUAGUACAAAAAAGCAGAGGAAGGGCAAAUAUGCUUCUUCUGCUUUAGCUGGAAGAUGCAUCUUCUCCUUAGCCUCCAGCCCACUGGUUCUUGGGCCUUUGAACUUGGACUGGGACUUAUAUCAUUGGCUCUCCUGGUUCCCAGGUUUUGGAUUUGGACUAGAACUACACCAUGGCUUCCGGAGCUUCCAGCUUUCAGAAGGUAUAUCGUGGGACUUCUCAGCCUCCAUAAUCUUGUGAGCCAAUCCCUUAUAAUAAAUUUCUUUCUACAUAUCUAUAUAUCCUAUUGGUUGUUUCUCUGGUGAGGACUGACUAAUAUACCCACUUAUUUGAAACUCAGGUAUCCUUGAGGUUCCCACUUUACUUUAGCCUGGCUCCUUUACUCAUAGUCUAGAAGUACUGCUGGCACUCUCCUAGUUCCAAAGUGCCAAUUUCAGAUCAUUUUAUUUUCCUAUCAAGCAAAAUUUCUUUUGAGUUUCUUCUAUACCAACCUAACUAUACCAUUUUCUACCCUUUUCAUCGCCAUUUUUUUAAUUAUUCACAUUCAUCUAGGUUUUGUGUACCACACUCACUGUAUUUCUCUCUAACUCAACUCCUACAAAAAUUUCAAGGCCUUCAUGAAUGACCCUCAUAGUUCUGUGGUCUAUUCAAAGCUUAUGGCUUCACUUCUCUCAACUUCAGCAACCUACCUUGCACUGAUUUCUUGAGCUUAUCUUUACCUAGAACUAACUGAAAUACAUGGAAUCUCACAUAUCAAUAUCUUCCUCUCUAAACAUACCCUCUUAUUCUGCCAGUCCUCUCCUAUUUCUGCAAACCUACCCUCUUACUGACACCAUGAUGAUCUUUAGUCCCUUGAUUCCUCCCUCUCCUUUUUCAACUGUUAGCCCUCUCUUAGCAUCACUUCCUUACCACUCAGUUCAGGUCCUGUGUUUUUUUUUUAUCAUUCUCCUAUGAGCAACCACAAUUUAUCCCACACUUUCAGAGUUCCCAUAGUGGCUCAGUGGAAACGAAUCUGUCUAGUAUCCAUGAGGACGCAGGUUCGAUCCCUGGCCUUCCUCAGUGGGUUAAGCAUCCAGUGUUGCUGUGAGCUGUGGUGUAGGUCACAGAUGUGGCUCAUUUCUGGCAUUGCUGUGGCUGUGGCAUAGGCUGGCAGCUGCAGCUCCAAUUCAACCCCUAGCCUGGGAACCCCCAUAUGCUGAAUCCUGCAUAUGGAGGUUCCCAGGCUAGGGGUCAAAUUGGAGCUGUAGUUGCUGGCCUAGCCACAGCCACAGCCACACCAGAUCCGAGCCUUGUCUGAGGCCUACACCACAACUCAUGGUAACUCAGGAUCUUUAACCCACUGAGGAAAGCCAGGGAUUGAACCUAUGUCCUCAUGGAUACUAGUCAUAUUCAUUUCUGCUGAGCCAAGAUGAGAACUCCCUGUAUCCUCAAAUCUUAUAUAUUCUUUCUCAGCUUCUCUUAUAUCUGUUAAAGACUAUCACAAACUUUUUUUUUAAUGGCUGCACCUGCAGCACAUGGAAGUUCUCAUGUUAGGAGUGGAAUCAGAGCUAGGGCUGCCAGCCUACACCACAGCCACAGCAGUGCCAGAUAAGAGCUUCGUUCGUGAUCUACACUGAAGCUUGCCGCAAUGCCAGAUCCUUAACCCACUGACUAAGGCCAGGGAUGGAACCUGGAUCUUCACAGACAUUAUGUCAGGUUCUUGACCUGCUGAGCCACAACAGGAACUCCCAAAGGCUAUCACAAACUUUUACUGUUUUUUUUUGGAAGCUUCUCCUCACUUUCUCUGCUAACUUUCCAUUUCACAGAGUAAGUAGAAGCUAACAGAAGUGAACUUGAUUCAUCCUCCACAGCACUUCUUCCCUUCCCAAUACAAAGGCAUCUGUUUCCAUUCCUAGCACAUCUUUCUCCUCUGCCCUCCUUCUUGUUAAUGCAAAUUAGUAUUUAGGAUUCAACCCUUUCCUUCCUCCUUGGGGACUGUGUUGUUUAAAUUUUCUUUUUCUUUUUGGUUUUUGGCCUAUAGACUAGAUCAAAUCACACCCAUUUAAAAAGUAAAGUAUCAGAGUUCCCGUCGUGGCGCAGUGGUGAACGAAUUCGACUUAGGAACCAUGAGGUUGCGGGUUCGAUCCCUGGCCUUGCUUGCUCAGUGGGUGAAGGAUCUGGUGCUGCCAUGAGCUGUGGUGUAAGUUGCAGACGCAGCUCGGAUCCCACGUUGCUGUGGCUGUGGUGUAGACGGGCAGCUACAGCUCCGAUUGGACCCCUAGCCUGGGAACCUCCAUAUGCCAUGGGAGUGGCCCAAGAAAUGGCAAAAAGACCAAAAAAAAAAAAAAAAAAAAAGUGAAGUAUCAGGAGUUCCCAUUGUGGCUCACCAAAAAUGAACCCAACUAGUAUCCAUGAGGAUUUGGGUUUGAUCCCUGGCCUCACUCAGUGGGUUAACAUUGCUGUGGCUGAGGUGUAAGCUGGCAGCUGUAGCUCCAAUUGGACUCCUAGCCUGGGAACUUCCAUAUGCCUCGAAUGUGGCCCAAAAAACAAAAAACAAUAAACCAGAAAAAAAAAAGUACCAAAAUAUUUUUCCUUGGUUCUAAUUCUCUGCUACCUGCCACCGGAAUCUUUUCCUUCUCUUCACUGAAAACAUUUAGGUCUCCACCUCUUUUGUUGUUUAUUUAAAGACUUAUCUACCUUGUAAUCCAUCAAGAAUUGACUUAGACCACUACUACCUAAACGGCUUUGCUAAGUGAUCAGUGUCUUCUUAAUUCCCAAGUCCAGUGGUUGCCUUUCAUUAUUUAUCUUUUGUGAUUUCUUUGCAUUAUUUUUGAUAGUUAGCCACUCUCUGGAAGCUCUCUCAUUGUUGUUUUUAUUAUACUAAUCAUUCCUGUCCCCAUCCUAAUUCUCUUAGAAUCCUGUGGGCCCUUCUACCUACUUUUAAAAUGUUGAUAUUCUCUAAUAUUUCACCCUCAGAUCUCUUCUUUUCUCACUGUAUAUACCCUCCCUUGAAUAGUGCCUUCUAUGACCAUGGCUGUACCUAUCACAUGUGUAUGAGUAAUACCCAAAUACAGGAGAGUGAUUUUUUCCUAUGGAAACUAGAAUUUAAAGCAAGGCAAAAAUAGAGUAGAGUUAAAAUUACCUUUGAAAAAUCUCUUCUAAAAUACUGUAUACAUGAUUUUGAAUAUAUAUAUAUAAUCAAUCAAGAAAUCCCACACAGCCAGUUUUCUUCUGCUAUUGGAACAGAAGGUUGUUUCUUGAGUUGAGCACCAGAUGAAGUUGUUGGCUUGCAUUUAAGGGGCCAUGUUAUAAGAAAAAUGUUUUUGUUUUUUUGCCAAGCACAUAUAGUAGACUUAAUAUGCUAAGUAAGCGCAGGAGAUAUCCAAAGUAUUUCUCUUCAGCCUGAC
rnacentral:lncRNA from 1 species